rnacentral:rRNA from 1 species
UACGGGGGGAGCAAGCGUUGUUCGGAUUUACUGGGCGUAAAGGGCGCGUAGGCGGGCCCUCAAGUCCGGGGUGAAAUCCUCCCGCCUAACGGGAGAAGAGCCUCGGAGACUGAGGGCCUCGAGGGGGGUAGGGGCGUGCGGAACUAUGGGUGGAGCGGUGAAAUGCAUUGAUAUCCAUAGGAACUCCGGUGGCGAAGGCGGCACGCUGGACCCCUUCUGACGCUGAGGCGCGAAAGCCAGGGGAGCAAACGGG